AUAGAAAUAAUAAAGACUAACUCUCCAGCCUGCUGGCACUUCUUCAAGGAGACUCGGCCAUUCCUCGCUACGGGCAAACUUGUGCAGACUUCUGCCGCCGUCCCGCUGUUUUUCUUCCUCCCCCCUGCACGGCUUUCAUAGCCAAUUAAGGCUCGCUGCGUGACAGUCUGGCCGAAUCAAAAGGUCCCCGCACUCCUUGACGGCUAGAGCAGCCAAUUAAAAUCCCUCGCCGGGCCCGAGCCUGCCGUCGCCGCCCACCGCGAGUGAUCAUUACCACAUGUGUGGGUUGGACGGAGUCUUUGGGCGAAGUAUUGAUUACGGUGUUGCAAAACGAUCUUUGGCGCUUUGGCCCGAAGGAGUGGGGCUGUCGCGGUUAACGGGGAUGAAGGUGUCAAGUCGGAUUUUGAGAGCAAGCAGCAAACACGAUAUACAUACACACACGCGCGCACGCACGCCCCACCGUGCUGAUUGCCUGUGCCGGUGUCACUGUCCACACUGCACAGCAGUAAGCCUCAUCACACGGGUCAGCAGAGCCAAGACCUCGCUCGCAUACUGCUUGAUCAUCUGAACAAGUCCGGAAAUUAACUUUGAUGUGGAAUUUCUGUGGGUGAGCUGCUA